UGCGCAGGCGGGCUUGUAAGUCAGUGGUGAAAUACUGCCGCUUAACGGUAGAACUGCCAAUGAUACUGCGAGUCUUGAAUAUGGUUGAGGUAGGCGGAAUGUGCUGUGUAGCGGUGAAAUGCAUAGAUAUGACACAGAACGCCGAUUGCGAAGGCAGCUUACUAAGCCAUUAUUGACGCUGAGGCACGAAAGCGUGGGGAGCGAACAGGAUUAGAUACCCUGGUAGUCC
rnacentral:rRNA from 1 species